rnacentral:rRNA from 1 species
GGACGAAAGUCUGACGGAGCAACGCCGCGUGAGUGAAGAAGGCCUUCGGGUCGUAAAGCUCUGUCGUUUGGGACGAACGUAUUCUGUGUAAACAAUGCAGAGUAAUGACGGUACCAAAGGAGGAAGCCACGGCUAACUACGUGCCAGCAGCCGCGGUAAUACGUAGGUGGCAAGCGUUGUCCGGAAUUAUUGGGCGUAAAGGGCGUGUAGGUGGAUCUUUAAGUCGUGUGUCUAAGUGCGGGGCUCAACCCCGUAUGGGCGCAGGAAACUGGGGAUCUUGAGUGCAGGAGAGGAAAGUGGAAUUCCCAGUGUAGCGGUGAAAUGCGUAGAUAUUGGGAGGAACACCAGUGGCGAAGGCGACUUUCUGGACUGUGUCUGACACUGAGGCGCGAAAGCCAGGGGAGCGAACGGGAUUAGAUACCCCGGUAGUCCUGGCCGUAAACGAUGGGUACUAGGUGUAGGAGGUAUCGACCCCUCCUGUGCCGGAGUUAACGCAAUAAGUACCCCGCCUGGGGAGUACG